UACAGGGGGUGCAAACGUUGCUCGGAAUUAUUGGGCGUAAAGCGCGCGUAGGCGGUUACCUAAGUUGGAUGUGAAAGCCCUUGGCUUAACCGAGGAAGUGCAUCCAAAACUGGGCAGCUAGAGUGUGGAAGAGGGUCGCGGAAUUCCCGGUGUAGAGGUGAAAUUCGUAGAUAUCGGGAGGAACACCAGUGGCGAAGGCGGCGACCUGGUCCGAAACUGACGCUGAGGCGCGAAAGCGUGGGGAGCAAACAGG
rnacentral:rRNA from 2 species